GUUGUAUAGUCAAGUAAUUAAGUGCAUGUGGUGGAUGCCUUGGCAGUCAGAGGCGAUGAAAGACGUGAUAGCCUGCGAAAAGCUCCGGGGAGGCGGCAAAUAUCCUGUGAUCCGGAGAUGUCUGAAUGGGGAAACCCACUUACCAUAAGGUAGGUAUUGCAUGAUGAAUACAUAGUCAUGCAAGGCGAACGAGGGGAAGUGAAACAUCUCAGUACCCUUAGGAAAAGAAAUCAAUUGAGAU
rnacentral:rRNA from 1 species